rnacentral:lncRNA from 1 species
UAAUUAGAGUUUGUGUAAUUCAUCCUUUCUUAUACGUGCAUCACACAGAACAUUGUCUCUGUUCACAUCCCAGAGUUUGUUUGUUCUGUUGUUAAUCCCAUUCCUACUUCCAAACAACAUCACUUUCACCCUCACAAAAAACACUAUCUCUACUCACCUAGAUUUGCCUCCCAAAAUUUUACAUUUAUUUUGUUUUCCUAUCUUUUCUCACCAAUACCACCAUUUCCCAAAUAGACAU